AGUUUGAUAAGUUUUUUAUAGAUUUUGUAUACUAACCCUAGGGUUUUGUGACUUUGAAUGGUAUAUUCAGCAUUUUUAUGUCAACAUUACCAGUAGUUUUGAAUCCUGAGUUAGCAGGUAGGAAAUAUCAGGCUGGAAUACUUCUUAAACAUCAGUUUAUCAUAAGUGGAAAGUGUACGUUGAGCAAAGAGAGCUGUACCUAAGUUGAGCAGAGAGAGCUGAGCUUGUAAAUUCCUUUGCACGUUUCAUUUUUUGCAUGGAAUUAGUCUUUAAUGCAAAAGAAAAGUUUUGGGUACAGGACAGGACGUGAUAAGACAACACAGAGUCGAACAAUUUUUCAGACCAGAUGGUGAAAGAUUUUAUUUUCCAUGAUGGUAGAAAGCAUAGGGAUCACUGUGUCUGCCAGAGCACUUGGACUAUGUUUAGAGCAACAGUUCAAAUCACUUCAGUGCAAAAUAUUAUUUGACGCUGCCUUAUAAUGGAUUCCACUAAAACAGACUCUGGGACAGGGGAUUUUGUGCAAAGUUUGUAGGAGAGUAGUCUUCGAAGAUAUACCUGAAGAAGUGAAUAAGGUAAGAAGAAGCAGAGGGAAAAACUGACCCACAGUGCAAUUGAGACUAAGACCUCUGCUGACUCCAUGGUAAGCUCUGUAACUGGGAUGUCCCUUUAGAUUAUCUCAAACUGAGGCAAGUUGGUAAAGCCUUUGUUUCCCUCCUUUUCCCAGUAAUUUGCUUCAUGCCAAGCCUUGGGAGAGGUCCUAAACUUGGAAGAGGCUGAGGGCAAUUUCAGUAAACAUCACAACUGUGAGUGGUCAGUAGGCAAUAUUACCACCAGGAAAAUGAAGGUAAAGGAUGAGAGCAUUGGCCUUGAAGAAGGGAUUUGGAACAUUAGCUACCAGAGCAGUAGCUGUUAAGAGUUUGGUACCCAGAUAAGCAACAUGAGCAUCAUGUGGAAGCUUGUUAGAAAUGCAGAUUUGCAAGAUCUAUCCAAGAUUUACUGGACCAGAAAUUCUGGGGGUGGGACAGAGUGAUUUAUGGCUUAACAGCCCUCCAGGUGAUUCUGAUGCACACCUACGUUUGAGAACCACCACACUGACAUGUCUGCUGCUCUAGGCACCCAACAAGAUAGCAUCAACAAAUAUAUUUUGUUAUAAGAUCAAAAACAUUUUUUGUUAGCUCUUUAUUUCUGAUAAUAAUGCACUGAUUUCUGCUUCUGGUUAUUGUGUUAUUUCACAUAAUGGAAAAUCAGACACGAUUUAAAGUUUCAGUCAGUUUCAUUAUAAUGGCCAAUUAUUUAAAUAUGGCGAUGUCAGGAAAUGUGGAAUACUAGUCUCUAUCAUGCUAUGGGAGACUAACCAAAGGAAAUAGCUAAGAGGAGUGAGCGAAGAAGACAGAUACAGACAUCAUCUGUGUCCUUUCUUGCAUGGGAUUAUGGAAAUCCAACAUUGCGAAAACCUCUGGCUUGCAUUGGGAUGAAUUUAGAUAGGUACCAAAUGUCUGCUAUUUUACUUUUGAGAAGAAAACAAAUACAGUCUUCCUGUUCUUAUAGAAAAUUUAUACAAACACUGAUUGGCCCUGAAGAUAACACCAACAGUCUAGGAAAAAAUACUGCCAAAUGGUAAAUGAUAUGGUAUUUACAAAGUGUGGAUUGUCUGUAGACCAUGAAAAUCAGAACAUAUCUUUAAAAUGAACAAAACAGGAAACUAAAGAUGAAAAUACUCAUUAAAUCUUGUUUCUAAGUUUAGUUACAAAGUUCAUUGCAAAGCUGGUAUCUUUGUCUCCAAAUGUGAUUUGGAAUGUCCGUGCUCUAGAAAGCUCUGAGACUUUGCAAGUCCUCAGAUACCCUCUCAGUUUAUCCAGUUUGGGUCUCCAUUAUCUAUCUCUAGGAACUAUUAGAAAAAAGUAGACCCAAGGGACAGAGGCUCUAUUCAGCCUCUCCCCAUCCCAUCUUGAUCAUCAACUUGCCAUUUGUACUGGUACUCACCUGUGUUGCUUACCUACCGCACCUUCUUUGAAGUGGCAAAUGUCUUGGCCUACUCUCUUCUUCCCAAACAGUAUUUGCACUUCAUUUACUUUUCCAACUACUGCUCAGUUAUUGGCUGGGCUGUUGAAGCUUCCAAAAACCACUUUUAUCGUGUGAAUGGGCGGCUUAGAUAACUGGGAAUACUUAAUUAAAUGCGAUAUAUUUUUUCAGUGUAUCCUCCGUGGUGCACUCAUUUUUAAUAGCAUCUUACGCUUCUUUAACUCUAGGACCACUGGUCUUGAAUUUACUAACAGGAAGAGUCAUCAUGGAGACACAUUAACUCUGGUCAGUGCAAAGAAGCUCUCGAGUGGCUCUUCACGUCUGUUAUUGUACUUUGCAGCUUGGGUUCCCAAUCAGUUGGGAAAAAUGAAAACAUUCCCAACUGCAUGGAGGCUCAAUUAUAAACUUCAGUCUAAGGAGCUACUCAGUUCAUUGCACAGAAGUCCCCUUGAGAUAUUAAAUUCCAGGAUCCUUACUAUGGAGAAAAUUAAUAACCUUUCUGAAGCUGUUUUUCUUCCUGAGAUUUUUAAAUAAAAAGAUUGACCUUCCAAUACACUGAAGAAGGACUUCCUAAAAGACAAGAUGUUCAUACUUACCUCAAGGAGAACCUGUUUGAGUAUCUACUCAUAUGGCAUCUCAUGUUCCAUUGGCUGAAAGGAAGUUACCCUUUCAUUGUUGCACAUGUAAACAUAAUGAUUAUUAUAUCAGAAUCAUCAUGAGUUAACAUUUGUCCAAUGCCAACAAUGAGUUUGAUAGUGCAUGAAUCACUAAAUGAUAACCCCACAAAUUUUUUUAUAAAGUAAAAACGACUCAAGAUAAAUAGUAAAGAAACAUGCUGAUUUUAUUUUGGUGACUUAAAAAAAUGCUUAGAAAAAAAUUCAACAUAGUUUACAUAAAAAUUUGAGUAGAAAGAUACACUCAAUCCCUUUAUUAUUACAACUUAUCAGCAGUUGUAUAUUUGUUCUGUGCUUGUUGUUAAGAGGAACACUAUGCACAUGAAAUGUAUAUUGUAAUUAUUUUAUACAUGGCAUGUGGCAGCACAGCUCAGAGGUUAUAUUCACCUGUGUCCUUUCUCAUAUAAAUUUCAUUCAAUGCCCAGCAUAAACCGAAAUAUUUCUGUUUGUUUAUAUGUUUGUUUUCUGUUUUUCUGUUUUGGUAUUUUUGAUGAACUCCUUUUCCUGUACUCCUGACCAAAUAGGAAGAUGGCAGUUGAAAGGCUGAUGAAAGAGAAGGUUUCCCCAGAUGGCAAUUAUUCAAAUCUGAAGGAGAUCAGGCAUCCUAAAUGAGACCAGUGCCCCUUUGAACUCUUGACUCCAAGCUCCUUGAGAAAGAAGCAUAUUGCUGGGAAUGAAAGAUCUCUAAUGAGACCAAAUGGCAGAACAAGAUUUCUCACCUCUAUAGCUCUGAGCUGGAGGGACCACCAAGUAUUUCCAGACAAGGAGGAACUGUCACCUCACAUUGCUUGUGAAUCACUGCACAUCUGGUCCUCCUGCCCUGGGACAAGAACUGCAGCAGGAAAAGUCAAUGAGGACUACAUGAAGCCAAAGGAAUCGUAACAAAUGGAAAUGUGAGUGAAGAGCAUUAUAAAUGACUGAACAACUUAUUUGAAGACCCAGAGAACUCAAAGAACGGGAGCCAGGGAGUGAUCUUUUGGAAAAGAGCAUACAACUGUGGAAAAAUGGGAUAAAUCAAGCCACCAUUCUUGCUGAGUUCUUACUUCACCAUAAAUUAGGCACCUGAAUUCUGCAGAUCUUGGAAAAUUCACAGUCCUAAUACACCCGUCAUCCACACAUUUGAAGAUGAGGAAACAAUUACUUUCAACAGGCAUAGAGACAGAAGCAGUAUCUACCAAGUAUAUGGAGAAGAGAAUCACCACCCCCCCCCAAAUCGGUCACCUCAAUCCUUCUGUAUCCUGCAAUAAAAUGGGGCACAAGCAAAUAAGAGCUUAUUUACUGCUGCAUAAAACUUUGGCUGAACAGUCAAGGAGAGGAAGUCUGCUUUCGAUUUCAACCAUCUGGAAACAUUACAUCUCAAAACUAAGAUCUUUCCAAUUUUCUUGUAGGAUAAGUAGCGUGUCUUCUCCUUAACUCUACACUCUGUAGACUAGAGCAGAUAUCAUAGAAAUAAUGAUCAUCAUAGGUAAAUUAACCCAUGUAAGUGUAUCGGUCCUCCAGAACUUUCAAAAACUUGGGGAAAAAUAUUAACAAUGGUCUCUUAAAAUGUGAAAUCCCCACACGUUUUAAAUUAGAGAAAUUAUUUGCAAAGUCAUCAUUGCUGUGUUUUGUAAUCCCUCGUAAAUGUAGAACAUAGCUCUCUUACAUCUAUUUGCCCUCAAAACUAUUUUUCUUCUUCAAAGCAAGUAAGAAUCACUUUUUUCUCAAGGAUAUCUGGGUAAAGAGAUGUGCCCUGAGUUUCUAGAUCAGCCCCCUGAAGUGUUGUUUGACACUUUGCAAGUCACUUAACUCCUUUGGAACUUCUGUCUCUCUCUGUGUAAAAUGAUACUGACCACCCACUGAACCUACGGGCAUGGAGCAGCCCUGGACACUGGAGUGUGCCAGUGCUUAGGAUGAAAGUGUCAUGUAAAUUCCAGGGAGGCAGUGUGGUCCAAUGUGGAAAGGGUUCAAUUAACCCCCAGGAGACCAAGGGGCUUUGUUUUCAAUUCAGAGGCUAAGUGACCCUGGAGACUACCUCUACUCAGAGCCUCGACUAUCUCCACAGGACAGUGUGCAGUCUCAAUCACUACUCAACUGAGUUUCAAACUUUUAUUUGUCUUGCUUAUUUCAAUUUUUUUUCUUAGUAAUUCCUCCUAUCCAUUUUCUUUUUCUAACACAUUUGAAUUUAUUUAUGUAUUUUUUUACUUAUAAAAUAUGAAAAUGGUUAUAAGAUUCCAGAACUCUUCUUGGGAAGUUAAUGAAAAUAAUAAACAGAAGUAGCAGUAACUACUUGGAGAGUUCUCCAGACAGAUGAAGUCCUUUUGCUAUUUUCAAGUAAUAGACCAAAAUGAAAUCAGGUUUCUUAAUUUCUCCCUUUCAUUGGUCCUCCAUUUAGUCUGACCUUGAAGGGAAAAGUAAUGUAUUUAAUUCCCCAUGUCAUUUAAUCAUGAAUUAAGACAAAUAGAAUUUUGCAAUGAGAACUUAAAAAUUUUUACUUAAGAAAAAAUGAACAGAGAUUAUCCAAUAAAAACUUUAAAAUAAACAGUAGUAAAGAUGUUCAAGGUAAGAUAAUCAUUUGAGUCACAUCUGACUAUAGUAAAUUUAAAGAGGCAAUUCUCAUUCACAUUGUCUUUACUGUGGUUAGGGACAAUAUUUACUUAAAAUAAGAGGACUUUUGUACAGUGCUUCACAAUUCUGUUUAUUUUUUGAUGAUUUGAGGUUUUCAUAAUAUUUGCCACUCAGGGACAUGAUCUUUUUUGAAAAGCUCUGCCUCUCUUACUCUUCAUAAGCCAAAAUAAUUAAAAAUGUGGCUUUCAUAAUGAUAGAUAUAAUACACUUUCAUAUUGUGUCUGCUGGGCACUUCUCAUUUGUUUCUUAGUAUGUUGAUUACAUUUAGUCCUGGACACCAUUUAUAGACGAGCUGAAGUUGAAUGGAUUAUAGAAUAAACACCUGUGACAACAGCCCCAGGUGGGUGUCAAAGUGCUUAACUGACCAGCAGCAGAGAGUGUGGCUCCUUGGCAGGAGAUUUAAGAGGCUGUGUUCAGUUGGAUCCAGUGGUGCUUUUUUUGGAGUGAACCAUUGCAUCUAAUUUCCCUUUUGAGGGAGGAAAAAUAUAGAAAGAAAGCGGUGGAACUGUAGGAUGUUUUUAGUUGACAUCAAGAAGUAUAUAUUUAAAAAUGAGAGAGAUGUAAUUGAUAUUUAAAAGGAAACAAAAAUAGAAAAUAAAUCACUUUAAAAGGCAUAGAAGUGAAAAAGUCUUUUGCAAAGAAUCAUAGUACAUAAAUUGGGACUGUGUAAAUUCAGUACUUAGUUACGGAAAAUUUGCCAUGUUUUUC